UACGGGGGGAGCAAGCGUUGUUCGGAUUUACUGGGCGUAAAGGGCGCGUAGGCGGCCAGCACAAGUCAGUUGUGAAAUCUCCGAGCUUAACUCGGAAAGGUCAACUGAUACUGUGCGGCUAGAGUGCGGAAGGGGCAACUGGAAUUCUUGGUGUAGCGGUGAAAUGCGUAGAUAUCAAGAGGAACACCAGUGGCGAAGGCGAGUCCCUGGACGAUACCUGACACUGAGGCACGAAAGCCAAGGGAGCAAACAGG
rnacentral:rRNA from 1 species